rnacentral:rRNA from 1 species
CCUACGGGUGGCUGCAGUGAGGAAUAUUGGUCAAUGGGCGCGAGCCUGAACCAGCCAAGUAGCGUGAAGGAUGACUGCCCUACGGGUUGUAAACUUCUUUUAUAAAGGAAUAAAGUGAGGCACGUGUGCCUUUUUGUAUGUACUUUAUGAAUAAGGAUCGGCUAACUCCGUGCCAGCAGCCGCGGUAAUACGGAGGAUCCGAGCGUUAUCCGGAUUUAUUGGGUUUAAAGGGAGCGUAGAUGGGUUGUUAAGUCAGUUGUGAAAGUUUGCGGCUCAACCGUAAAAUUGCAAUUGAUACUGGCAGUCUUGAGUACAGUUGAGGUAGGCGGAAUUCGUGGUGUAGCGGUGAAAUGCAUAGAUAUCACGCAGAACUCCGAUUGCGAAGGCAGCUUACUAAACUAUAACUGACACUGAAGCACGAAAGCGUGGGGAUCAAACAGGAUUAGAUACCCGUGUAGUC